rnacentral:rRNA from 1 species
UACGUAGGGGGCUAGCGUUGUCCGGAUUUAUUGGGCGUAAAGGGCGCGUAGGCGGCCCGGUAAGUCAAAGGUGAAAUCCCUCGGCUCAACUGAGGAACUGCCUUUGAAACUGUCGGGCUUGAGGCCGGGAGGGGGUAGCGGAAUUCCCAGUGUAGCGGUGAAAUGCGUAGAUAUUGGGAGGAACACCGGUGGCGAAGGCGGCUACCUGGACCGGUUCUGACGCUGAAACACGAAAGCCAGGGGAGCGAACGGG